rnacentral:rRNA from 1 species
GUUAUAUGGUCAAGUGAAGAAGCGCAUACGGUGGAUGCCUUGGCAGUCAGAGGCGAUGAAAGACGUGGUAGCCUGCGAAAAGCUUCGGGGAGUCGGCAAACAGACUUUGAUCCGGAGAUCUCUGAAUGGGGGAACCCACCUAGGAUAACCUAGGUAUCUUGUACUGAAUCCAUAGGUGCAAGAGGCGAACCAGGGGAACUGAAACAUCUAAGUACCCUGAGGAAAAGAAAUCAACCGAGAUUCCCUUAGUAGUGGCGAGCGAACGGGGAUUAGCCCUUAAGCUUCAUUGAUUUUAGCGGAACGCUCUGAAAAGUGCGGCCAUAGUGGGUGAUAGCCCCGUACGCGAAAGGAUCUUUGAAGUGAAAUCGAGUAGGACGGAGCACGAGAAACUUUGUCUGAACAUGGGGGGACCAUCCUCCAAGGCUAAAUACUACUGACUGACCGAUAGUGAACCAGUACCGUGAGGGAAAGGCGAAAAGAACCCCGGAGAGGGGAGUGAAAUAGAACCUGAAACCGUAUGCGUACAAGCAGUGGGAGCCUACUUGUUAGGUGACUGCGUACCUUUUGUAUAAUGGGUCAGCGACUUAUAUUCAGUGGCAAGCUUAACCGUAUAGGGUAGGCGUAGCGAAAGCGAGUCUUAAUAGGGCGUUUAGUCGCUGGGUAUAGACCCGAAACCGGGCGAUCUAUCCAUGAGCAGGUUGAAGGUUAGGUAACACUGACUGGAGGACCGAACCCACUCCCGUUGAAAAGGUAGGGGAUGACUUGUGGAUCGGAGUGAAAGGCUAAUCAAGCUCGGAGAUAGCUGGUUCUCCUCGAAAGCUAUUUAGGUAGCGCCUCAUGUAUCACUCUGGGGGGUAGAGCACUGUUUCGGCUAGGGGGUCAUCCCGACUUACCAAACCGAUGCAAACUCCGAAUACCCAGAAGUGCCGAGCAUGGGAGACACACGGCGGGUGCUAACGUCCGUCGUGAAAAGGGAAACAACCCAGACCGCCAGCUAAGGUCCCAAAGUUGUGGUUAAGUGGUAAACGAUGUGGGAAGGCUUAGACAGCUAGGAGGUUGGCUUAGAAGCAGCCAUCCUUUAAAGAAAGCGUAAUAGCUCACUAGUCGAGUCGGCCUGCGCGGAAGAUGUAACGGGGCUCAAACCACACACCGAAGCUGCGGGUGUCACGUAAGUGACGCGGUAGAGGAGCGUUCUGUAAGCCUGUGAAGGUGAGUUGAGAAGCUUGCUGGAGGUAUCAGAAGUGCGAAUGCUGACAUGAGUAACGACAAUGGGUGUGAAAAACACCCACGCCGAAAGACCAAGGGUUCCUGCGCAACGUUAAUCGACGCAGGGUUAGUCGGUUCCUAAGGCGAGGCUGAAAAGCGUAGUCGAUGGGAAACAGGUUAAUAUUCCUGUACUUCUGGUUACUGCGAUGGAGGGACGGAGAAGGCUAGGCCAGCUUGGCGUUGGUUGUCCAAGUUUAAGGUGGUAGGCUGAAAUCUUAGGUAAAUCCGGGGUUUCAAGGCCGAGAGCUGAUGACGAGUCGUCUUUUAGAUGACGAAGUGGUUGAUGCCAUGCUUCCAAGAAAAGCUUCUAAGCUUCAGGUAACCAGGAACCGUACCCCAAACCGACACAGGUGGUCGGGUAGAGAAUACCAAGGCGCUUGAGAGAACUCGGGUGAAGGAACUAGGCAAAAUGGCACCGUAACUUCGGGAGAAGGUGCGCCGGCUAGGGUGAAGGAUUUACUCCGUAAGCUCUGGCUGGUCGAAGAUACCAGGCCGCUGCGACUGUUUAUUAAAAACACAGCACUCUGCAAACACGAAAGUGGACGUAUAGGGUGUGACGCCUGCCCGGUGCCGGAAGGUUAAUUGAUGGGGUUAGCGCAAGCGAAGCUCUUGAUCGAAGCCCCGGUAAACGGCGGCCGUAACUAUAACGGUCCUAAGGUAGCGAAAUUCCUUGUCGGGUAAGUUCCGACCUGCACGAAUGGCGUAACGAUGGCGGCGCUGUCUCCACCCGAGACUCAGUGAAAUUGAAAUCGCUGUGAAGAUGCAGUGUAUCCGCGGCUAGACGGAAAGACCCCGUGAACCUUUACUGUAGCUUUGCACUGGACUUUGAGCCUGCUUGUGUAGGAUAGGUGGGAGGCUUUGAAGCGUGGACGCCAGUUCGCGUGGAGCCAUCCUUGAAAUACCACCCUGGCAUGCUUGAGGUUCUAACUCUGGUCCGUAAUCCGGAUCGAGGACAGUGUAUGGUGGGCAGUUUGACUGGGGCGGUCUCCUCCUAAAGAGUAACGGAGGAGUACGAAGGUGCGCUCAGACCGGUCGGAAAUCGGUCGCAGAGUAUAAAGGCAAAAGCGCGCUUGACUGCGAGACAGACACGUCGAGCAGGUACGAAAGUAGGUCUUAGUGAUCCGGUGGUUCUGUAUGGAAGGGCCAUCGCUCAACGGAUAAAAGGUACUCCGGGGAUAACAGGCUGAUACCGCCCAAGAGUUCAUAUCGACGGCGGUGUUUGGCACCUCGAUGUCGGCUCAUCACAUCCUGGGGCUGAAGCCGGUCCCAAGGGUAUGGCUGUUCGCCAUUUAAAGUGGUACGCGAGCUGGGUUUAGAACGUCGUGAGACAGUUCGGUCCCUAUCUGCCGUGGACGUUUGAGAUUUGAGAGGGGCUGCUCCUAGUACGAGAGGACCGGAGUGGACGAACCUCUGGUGUUCCGGUUGUCACGCCAGUGGCAUUGCCGGGUAGCUAUGUUCGGAAAAGAUAACCGCUGAAAGCAUCUAAGCGGGAAACUUGCCUCAAGAUGAGAUCUCACUGGGAACUUGAUUCCCCUGAAGGGCCGUCGAAGACUACGACGUUGAUAGGCUGGGUGUGUAAGCGUUGUGAGGCGUUGAGCUAACCAGUACUAAUUGCCCGUGAGGCUUGACCAUAUAACACCCAAACA